rnacentral:rRNA from 1 species
GACGAACGCUGGCGGCGUGCCUAACACAUGCAAGUCGAACGGACUGCGAGGAGCUUGCUCCUCAAAGUUAGUGGCGGACGGGUGAGUAACGCGUGAGUAACCUGCCUUACAGAGGGGGAUAACGUUUGGAAACGAACGCUAAUACCGCAUAAUGUAUCUGAUAUCGCAUGGCAUUGAUACCAAAGAUUUUAUCGCUGUAAGAUGGACUCGCGUCUGAUUAGAUAGUUGGCGGGGUAACGGCCCACCAAGUCGACGAUCAGUAGCCGGACUGAGAGGUUGAACGGCCACAUUGGGACUGAGACACGGCCCAGACUCCUACGGGAGGCAGCAGUGAGGGAUAUUGCACAAUGGAGGAAACUCUGAUGCAGCAACGCCGCGUGAGGGAAGAAGGUUUUCGGAUUGUAAACCUCUGUUUUAGUGAAGAAACAAAUGAACGGUACCUGAAUAAGAAGCCCCGGCUAACUACGUG